GGCUGUCACCAUAACGAGAUAAAAGUGGAUUAGCUUCUGCGCUGCUGCCGCGUCCACGGGGAGCCCAUCUGUUCCCUGCACAGCCAGCCCGGCUCGGAGCGGCCGCGGGGCUCUGUCAAGGCCCGGGAUGGGUGCAGAGGCCUCAGGAGGGCCCAAGACUGGGAUCCAGAUGCAACUUGGAAUGGGGCUGAGGACAAGGCAGCAUUGGCGUGCUCCCGAUGGAGAUGGGGCAGGGAAGAGGACAGCCCCAGGCCGGGGCCAGCCGGGCACCCGGUGUCUGAGCCGACUGUCCUGUGAGUCCUUCUGAGAAGCCUGCACCCUCCUGGGCCUCACCCAUGGCUGAAGCACACCUGAGGAAGCCACGGCACCAAGUUCCCUGCACCAGGAUGCCCUGAGAGCCAGGCACAGGGUGUGAAGUCAUUGGAGGGGAGGCCCUCCCACUCCCCUGGGAACAGGAGGGGAGCAGCGGCUCCCACUGCAGCAAGAAGAAUGUGUGUUAGACUCCAGAAGAACUUUCUGGUCACGAAGAACUUUCUGGUUACACAAGUUUACCACUUGUGUAAGCGGUAAAUUGCAUCUAAUGAAGAGACCAGAAAAGCAUACUAUUUGAGGCCUGUAGCCACUGCUUUUGACAUGAAAACAGUGGUCCCCAAAUCUUUGAGUCAGGUUUUCUGGAAACAGGCCCGCCGGCCUGAGAAAGUUCUCUGGUUACUGGAACAGCACCGUGAGACAAGGACUGAAGCGCCAAGGUCCCCCUGACCAUCCUGAGAAGAGCCUGAGGAUCAGAUGUACAUGCAAAGCUGGAACUGGCUAACAAACCAAGGCUUCGAGAGAUGGAAUAACUUGAUGGAGGCACAGAAAUUAGCAGAAGAAUGAGGAUGUGAGCUCAGGAGUCCUGGCCCGAGUCUGCCACUUACCCCGGCGCUAUGCCACCUUCCCAGCAUCUGCCUGGAGCUCUGGAGCAGCAGGCUCUGGGGUUGGGCAAACUCUCUCCGGUGAUGUAACAGCAGGCAGGCCAGGAAAGGACGCGGUCUUCAGAAGAAACCUUGACCUCAGCAAGCGGGAAGCUGCAGUUUGGAAAGCAGGUAUUACUGUAUCCAGAAGUAACAAUAGCUGGCUCUGGAAAAUUCUCCUGCUUGGAUGGGAGGGCUCCAAACUAGUUUGCUGUGAAAGAACAGAAAAUUUAACUGGACUGGGUAAGAGACCCAGGAGCCAGGGGGAGGAAGAGGCCCCUACCCUCAGGGACCAGGAGCUGGGAGAAGUCGUUCGGGCCCAGGCUCAGGGGAUGACUUCCAGACUUCCAAAUGUGGGAAAGCUCCUGUCCUUCCUUCCUGCUCACCUGCCCAACUCCUUAGCCUCUGUGGGGACACUGAGGGGGAGAAACCAGGGGUCCCAGGAGCUGGCAGGCCAAAGAAGCAAGGAACAGUCACCCCCACACCAGGCCCCAGGUCCGUGGGGAGCAAAGCUAACCAGGUCCUGCUACAGAGGCACGGAGGCCACCAUAACCCAUUUUACUCCAAGUUGCCAACCAGGCCUGGAACAGACUGAGCAAGUCCCAUGGCCUCCAUUAGCAAAGGGCCACAGCUCGGGGGCCUUUUCCUUAUGUGGAAUGCAGUGUUUCCCACCGACAGACCUCCAGGGACUGCCUUCCCUCAAAGCACAAAACCACGACGCUCCAGACGGUCCCCAGUGACCUCCUUCACAUGGGCCACACACCCUCACGGGUCCUCCCGGCCCCUGCCUGCCCUGCUCCCUUGGCUCCCACAGUGGCCAUUCCCAGGCCACCAGGCUGCGAGCCCAUCCCGCCUGCAGCUGCCCGCCCAGGAGCAUUAAUUGAAAAUUAAUCCACCCGCUACGUGCCGACGUGCAAAUCAAAGCUAAGUGUCUCAAUUAGGAAGAGAAAUGGAGUCGGGCACUCUUCUCGGGCACCAGCUUAUUUAUGGGGAUAAUAUCAUUUUUAAUGAGGGGAGCUACUAAAAGGCACAACAAAUGCAACAUUUAAUAGAAAAAUAUUACAGCAUUCCAUCAGCAGAACGCAGCCGGGAGGGUGGAUUCCGGAGACGCACGGGCACCGGGGUGUCACUACGGCAGUGCAGGCGCCUGUGGAGGGGCAUGUGCGUGCACACACGUGUCUGUGGGAGCACGUGUGUGGCCUGCGUGUGUGUGCGUGCCUAGCCGUGCCUGGAUGUGUGUGCGUGUGGAUAUGUCUGCGGGCGGGGGAAUCUUUCCUGUGCUGCCUAAGUGCCUUGCUCAGGAUCAUGGGCCAGAUAAAUAAGAAUUCAAGUUAUUUUCUAUUACCAAGGGGGACUGGUCCACUUGGGUCCUGGAGAAGUGCAGGUCUCUGGCACCCACUUCCAUGGAGGGUCAACAGAGGAAGUCAGACCUCAGCUGGGCCUCAGCUUCCCCUGGGCUCCCUUGGCACAGAUGGCCAUCGUUGUCCCGGCCAGCCAUGUCAUGGCCAACUGCAGGACAAGACUCUGGGCACCACCCCACGGCCCCAAGCCAGCACUUGAGAACAUCCACCCCUUUCAGCCUUGGUCUCAGGCUCAGGAACCACAGGUUACAUUUGGCAGGUCAAGUCCAAGUUCCCAUCCCUCGGUCCCCCUCCUCCACUCAAGUGCAGCACAGCCACAGCCCCAGGCUGCACAGGCCCAGAUGGCCUUGGCUUUCACAUGCAGGCAAUGGAGAGGUGACUGAGGUGGGGAGCUCAGAAUCCAGCCGGCCUCACUGGGGCCCAGCAGAGAAGUCCCUCCAGCCCCCGCACAACGUGCACGCAGCACCCUCCUCGCUUCUACCUCUGGGGAUCUUCCUGGCAUACACGUCCCCAAAGCUGUCUGCGCCCCACCACCCCUGCCACUCCCCCAAGGACGCCUUUCCGAUCACCCCAUCCUCCUCAGACUCCUCCUGAGGCCCUGGUGCCACCGUCAACGUCUCCCCUGUGGGAAUAACAGUGAAUGCUUCUUGUAGUAAAGGCGGACAAGAGACAGUGUCCACCCCAGAUCGAUGCACAGCGUCAGCACAAGGCCAGGCACUGAGAGGCUCGCAGUUGAGGUCAGCUUUAUAUUGUGAGCAGGGUCAUGGUUCUCCUUUGUCACCUGUCCCCACCCCAUACAAACCCUGGAAGGCUCAGAGCAGGGAUUCCUAUCCCCGUUUCUCAUUACAGGAAACAGAAGCCCAGAGAGGUCCAGAGAUUUGCCCAAGGCUACACAGCAGGGAAACAUCAAAAGUCUGACAAGUUUCUAGAGGGCAGCAGAUCCCAGGCCUCCUGGGAUCAAAACCUGAGCUCCCCCAUCUCCCAGGAGCCUGGGGACUCCAAGCUAGGAGACUCAGGUAUAACCCAGCUUUACCUCCCACAAGCUGGGUGACUUUGAACUUGUGACAUAACCUCUCUGUGUCUUUUUUCCUUGAUAAAAUGGAGGUGAUAACAGCACUCACUUCGUGGGGUUUUGCAAGGUUAAAUGAGCUAAUACACCUAAAGUACCUCAAAUCAAGCCCAGCUGGUGAUAAAUCUUCAGUCUGUAUUGAGAUGUUGUUAAUAGUAUUAAGCCAUGCUACACCCAAAGCGUUCUGUCCCUGGUCAAGCAGUCUGAUAAGUUUCCCAAAGCAAGGCUUCCCCUCCCCCACCGGCCAGCCAGGGAGCCGCGGCCACACCCCCUCACCUAGUCCUUGAGCGGCAUGCUCUGGUCCGUGCACCUUUCUGUAUGUGUGUCGUGCUUGAACUUUGACAUAAAAAUAAAAUGAAGACAAGUGGGGGAGGGGCCGGGCCCAUGGAGGGUGCCUGCUGGGCAGCGGUUCCGGCACCUGGUUUCUGGUCUGCCUCCUUCUUGACCUUAUGCUGCACACAGGCAAGGACACUGUUUGACUUCUCUCCGGCUGUAUUUCCCGGGACCUAGAGAAAUGUCUGGACCUGGUGAGUGAUUGAUGGUCACCAGAGAGAGCGCACCGGGCUGAGGCAGAAGCGGGGAGGGCAAGCCGUUGGACCCGCAGGGGGACACCCAGCAGCCCCUUGGGCUGGGGACAGGCUCCCUGGGUGGAACCCUGGGUCUCAAGAGUGGAGACCCUCACCCUAGACCAAGAGCUCAAAAGGCAUGCUUCCUCCUCCCUCUCAGACCGCAGGUCCCUCCAGAUUGACGACAUUUGAAAGUUAACUUCCCCACAAA